GCCACUGAGGGGGUCGGGGAGGCUGCACAAGGUGGCGAGCCCAGACAGCCAGAGCAGCCCCCACCCCAGCCAUACCCACCACCGCCCCAGCAGCAGCACCAGGAAGAGAUGGCGGCCGAGGCCAGGCAAGCCGUGGUGCCCCCAUGGACGACGGGUUUCUGAGCCUGGACUCACCCUCCUACGUCCUGUACAGCGACAGAGCAGAAUGGGCUGAUAUAGAUCUAGUGCUGCAGAAUGUUGGCCCCAAUCCUGUGGUCCAGAUCAUUUACAGUGACAAAUAUACACUCUGGAAAUGAUUAAACUAGUACCACAUAAUGAAAGUGCCUGCAACUAUUUGAAAGGGAUUUUGCAGGAUCGUGGUCUUUCCAAAUAUCCUAAUCUGUUAAGUCAAUUACUUGAUUUACAACCAAGGCAUAGUUCCCCCUACCUAAUUGCCUUUCUUGUGGUUAUCUAUGAAGACAUGCUAGAAAACCACUGUGACAAAAAGGAAGACAUUCUUAAUAAAGCAUUAGAGUUAUGUGAGAUCCUAGCUCAAGAAAAGGACACUAUAAGAAAGGAAUAUUGGAGAUAGAUUGGAAGAUCCCUUCAAAGCAAACACAGCACAGAAAAUGACUCACCAACAAAUGUACAGCAA
rnacentral:lncRNA from 10 species